ACGAACGCUGGCGGCGUGCCUAAUACCUGCAAGUCGAACGCUUCUUUCCUCCCGAGUGCUUGCACUCAAUUGGAAAGAGGAGUGGCGGACGGGUGAGUAACACGUGGGUAACCUACCCAUCAGAGGGGGAUAACACUUGGAAACAGGUGCUAAUACCGCAUAACAGUUUAUGCCGCAUGGCAUAAGAGUGAAAGGCGCUUUCGGGUGUCGUUGAUGGAUGGACCCGCGGUGCAUUAGCUAGUUGGUGAGGUAACGGCUCACCAAGGCCACGAUGCAUAGCCGACCUGAGAGGGUGAUCGGCCACACUGGGACUGAGACACGGCCCAGACUCCUACGGGAGGCAGCAGUAGGGAAUCUUCGGCAAUGGACGAAAGUCUGACCGAGCAACGCCGCGUGAGUGAAGAAGGUUUUCGGAUCGUAAAACUCUGUUGUUAGAGAAGAACAAGGACGUUAGUAACUGAACGUCCCCUGACGGUAUCUAACCAGAAAGCCACGGCUAACUACGUG
rnacentral:rRNA from 1 species